UACGAGAGGCCCAAACGUUAUUCGGAAUUACUGGGCUUAAAGAGUUCGUAGGCGGCAUGAAAAGUAGGGUGUGAAAGCCCUCGGCUCAACCGAGGAAUUGCGCUCUAAACUGUCGUGCUCGAGGAACCUAGAGGUGAGCAGAACAGAUGGUGGAGCGGUGAAAUGCGUUGAGAUCGGAAGGAACGCCCGUGGCGAAAGCGAGGUCCUGGACGUCUGCUGACGCUGAGACGCGAAAGCUAGGGGAGCGAACGGG
rnacentral:rRNA from 1 species